rnacentral:lncRNA from 1 species
CAGAGAGCCCCCUUUCUGAGCUCAGAUAGAAUCCUUCGUGGACAGCGUAUUUAUUCGAGCUAUCUUGGAAUAAUAAUAAUCAGAGGUUGAUUAAGGCCUCUAAAAUUCGAAGAGCAGGGGCGCUUUGGUUUCUUCCGGUUUCUCACCGUCAGCACGUCUAGGAAAAAGUUGGGAAGAGGCUGCGGAGCGGGCUGCUGACACCAGGGGGCAGCACUGAUCUGGAGCCUCAGGUUGGCCGUGGGCAGACAGGGAACCCGAGGAGGGUCGUUGAAGCGGCCGCGCGGUGGCUGCAGCGCCCCGGGUGGGGUGGAGUGAUACUCCAGGGCCUCGAGAAGCCCUGGGCCCAAGCGCAGCUUGGAGGGUCGCUCCCACUUCCCCCCGGCCCCCACCACACACGUCCCCUCCCAGAGUCGCCCUCGCGGCUCUGCGCUGGGUCCCAGCUGCGAGCCUGAGUUCGGCUUCGGGAACCGCGCGGCCGAGUCCGAGACAAAGGCCAGGCGGCUCCCUGGCCCAAUUAGGCCACCCGCCUCCCCGCCUUCAUUGUUCCCGGGGUCGCCAAUUAUCCCAGGCGCCCCGCGUCCCACCGCUCCGGUGCCCCAAGGCCUCCUUAACCCUUCAGGGCCUGGCACCAGGGGCCCUAGAUGGCAGAAUCUCCAGGGGACGAGUGUGGAAGGCAUAUUGGCAGGUGAUAGGGGUUGCUGACCUGGCGUGCCCCGGGCCCUGUGCGUUGAGACUGUGGGGUGUGAGAAAGAAUUGUGCCUGUCCGCGUGGGAUUGUGAGUGUGAUUCACAGGGGAGCUUGAAGACUGGAGGUGUAACUGUGUUGGGCGGGGGAGCUCCAGGAGAUCCCUAGUGGAUGGGUGGGAAGGACCGUGAGACCGAGGGGACCUCAUUGCCUCUUCUGUCAAUCUGAGUUUCCUGAGCCCUCGAGUCAUCCCUCAGCCCACCCCCAGAAAUGCUGCCGUGGAGGAAAUCUUGAGCAUUGGUGGCCUGGCCCUGCCCUCCCCAAGGGCGCAGAACUAGGAUAUGCUUCCCCAGCAUACCGUGAAGUUGGCGCAGGGCACCCCUUGGAGCCAGAGGUGCGCGUUCAGCUUGAUGCGCCCCAGGACACCCACAGGUGCAAGUUCCAGCUCAAGGCCCCGCCCCCUCUGGCACCCCACCCCCAUUUCCCGGAUGUGGGACAGUUCAAGGGACUGAGCCUCAAUGAAAUCAAGGUUUAAACUCUGAGCCUGCCUUCCUCACCGGCUUUGGGAAGUACCCCAAAUCCAAUCCCACUCUGCCGUCUCCUUCACUGACCCGGACCUCAAAGUCCGGGGCAGCAGCCCCGCAAGCAGACCCGGUCUGGCGAGGGACCGGAGGCACCGUGAUCUAGGGCCCGGCCAGCAGAGCGGAGACCCGUGCGCACCUGGGGAAAAGGGCAAAGGGAAAGGAGCCUGAGCUCCGGGUCCUCUUUGGGCGCUCUCCGGGGAGUGCCUCUGGGAGUGCAGCCUGCUCAGCCACUCUGAAUACGCUCUGUCCCCGUCCCAACGCACCGGAGACUUCGAUUUGCCUUUGGAGCACCUUUUAGGCCGUCCGGAGGUUCAGACCCGCUCAUCCCACCUCGCACCCGGUCGCGAAGCACCGGGUUCCCAGAGCGGACGGCCGACGCUCUUCCUGGCCCCUCCUUUUGGUACCUUCCUCGGCUCCCGGCGGGGAAAGGACUUGGCGAAGGCCCAGUCCGCGGGCCGCGGCAACUCCCUACAUGCCCACCAGAUGGCGCUCCAGGCCAGGGGCCGGCAGCGGCCGGACAGCUCGCCUCGGGCUAGAGGCGGCGCUGGACGGAGAGCCGCAGCAAAACCCGCUUGGAGACCCAGCCACAGACUGACGUGGACCCCGGCCCAGAGACGGCACAGAUAGCCGAGGAAUCGAGGCGCUCCGCGGAAGCCAAAGAAGGCUCUGAACAGAGGCUGCCGACCCAAGGAUGGGAUUACCCGAGUUUCGGGCGGGGAGGCUUUUUCCCUUCUCCUGGGGGCCGCCCUGCCAGGCCAGCUCCCCACCCUGCGAAGCCUCAGCUGGAAACACCCACCGCCGCCUUUGGUGUGCCGGGCGGACUGGACCCUCGCGAUCCUCUCCCGUCAGGAGGCCGCCUGGCUCCCGCCUUCCAGGUCCCUCGGAAGUGGGGCUGUGGGCUUGGUUAUGUUGCGUGCCAUCGAACUGCCUUGCCCGGCGAGGCCCCCUCGACGGUGCCGGUGGGAGGAUAGGAGGUGGAGGGGGGCUCCCGCCCGGAGCUCCACCAAGUGCCUUCCUCUAGUUCACCCUCCCCCACCUCGGUCGCCUCUUCCCCUGAUCACGGGGGCGGCAAGAUAGGGCCCCCCUGGGGUGAGCCUUGCAGAGCUGCUCACCCCAGGGGUCCUGCCUCAGUAGGCCCCGGGUGCCAGAAGCCUUGGGGAGGCUUUAGGUCUUCAUUGUUCCAGUGGGAAGUGGUGGGAACUGGGGAGGGCACAGCAGGCUGAGAGUCUCUCCCCUAGGGUUUAAAAGCCACCAAGGUUCUGGGUCUGGUUUGAUGGGGGGCGGGGAGUAGGGUCAUCUUGCCAGUUUAAUUCAGAGGUGAGGUUUGGAAGCCUGAUUCCGGGGCUCCUUAGCGGCUCCUCCUCGGAGAGGGGAGAUUACCUCUUCUAUUAUUAACUAAAGGUACACAGCUAGGGAGUUCCCCGUGGUGGCUUAGCGGAAAUGAAUCUGACUAGCAUCCUUGAGGAAGCAGAUUGGAUCCCUGGCCUCGCUCAGUGGGUUAGGGAUCCAGAAUUGCUGUGGUCACAGACGAGGCUAGGAUCUGUCAUUGCUGUGGCUGUGGUGUAGGCUACAGCUCCCAUUCGACCCCUAGCCUGGGAACCUCCAUGUGCCCCGGGUGUGGCCCUAAAAAGACUAAAUGAAUAAAUACAUAAAGGUACCCAGCUAGAAAGCAGUCCAGCCUGCGUAGUUUCUGCCAUGACACAGUCAGGACACAGCCGCAGUCACAGGCUUGUUGUGUGAGCCCAGCUGGAUGUCUUCCUGGCCUCCAGCUCUUUCCCCCCCCAGUGUAUAACAGCGCCGGGAGAGGAUCAAACCUGUGGCCACUUGGUAGUUAUCUACACAUUCAUCUCCCACUGAAGCUGGGGAGAUUCCAAGGAGGCCAGGUUCUGCCUCCUGCUGUGUGACCUUGGACAGUGGGACUUUCUUCCGUGGGCCCCGAAUCCUCCUGCUGAAAAUAAGUGGAUUGGAGUAAAAUUAAGUUGAUCCGUGAGCGACCAGUCAACCUUGGUCCAGUGACCAGUGACCCCCCAGCCUCAUCAUCUAUGAGGCAGGGACUCUAUUUCCGUUUCAUGUUUGAGGAACCAGAGUCUGGAGGAUGGGCGGGGUCAUCCACGGACACCCCCAGGCUGUUGGGGCUGAGAUUCCUGGGGUGGGGGCAGGGCCGGUGGCCAGAAUGAAUUCACAGUUAGGAAAUCGCAUUCCAGGUCCUGAAACCCUCGGGGAACCGGCUGGCUCCAGCUGCCUCCACUCCUCGUGGGACGCAGUUGUUCCUCCGCCCCUGCCCCCCACCUUGGUACAAACUGCAGCAGAGGCUCAGCUUGGUGGAGGAUGGUUCUGGCACCCAGCACCCCCGCUUGUCCGCUGACUGUGACUUCUUCCCAAAGAGAGAAAGAGAUACUGAUGGAGGACUUUCAGGUACCCGUGUUUAGAGGUGCCCCCCACCUCCCAGACCUGGGAUGCCCAACAGGCUUUCCUUUCCUGGUGGAAGGCUAAGGGGCAUUCAAAGCGCUUCUGUGUAGGGGCUGCCACCAGAGUCAGUGCUGAAUUCCCACUGCACAGCCGAUGACAGUGAGGCUGUGAUGCGAUGUCCUGCAGGCCAUCCAGUAAACAACGGAAGUGCUCUUUCACAGUCCCACGGGCCUGGUCCUUGGAAAUGUUAGCUGAUGAAGUGAUGAUGAGUGAGAGUCAGCCUCGUGGCUGGGAAAGGCCAAAGGGGCUGGGCGCCCUCUGAGGCUGGCGGGUCGCGUGUGCGUGGGAGAAGCAGCCUGGAUACCCAGGGGAAGGGUGGCCCGCCCACUUCAUGCCAGCACAGCAGGGCCUGCCACAGACCCCUGGGUGGGGGGGGAAGCAGGGGCUUCCCCUGUGUAAAACAGUAGCAGGGGGGACAUCACAUGACAGGGGCUCAGCUCAGACUUGUUUGCUCUCCUCAUGUUGAUUUCUGUCCCCAGUGAACAAAAUGUCCUCUGGCCCCACCGCACCUUCUCCUCAGGCUGUGGAACCCCCACUGGUGCUUGCCUUUUCUUUUCUUUUCUUUUCUUUUCUUUUCUUUUUUUUAGAGCCACAUCCACUGCAUAGGGAGGUUCCCAGGCUAGGGGUUGAAUCAGAGCUACAGCUGCUGGCCUACACCACAGCCACAGCAAUGGCAGAUCUGAGCCACGUGUGUAACCUACACCACAGCUCCUGGCAAUGCCUGAUUCUUAACCCACUGAGUGAGACCAGGAAUGGAACUGCAUCUCAUGGAUACUAGUCGGGUUCAUUACCGCUGAACCACAAUGGGAAUGUCCCAUGCCUGCCUUUUCUUAUUUUAUCCUCAGCACUGGGCAGUGGGUAAGCUCACUCCCAUCUUACAGAGAAAACCCAAGGCUUAGACCUGCCCAAGAUCGUUGAGCUGCUAAGAAGCAGGUAAGGAAUUUCCACUGUGGCUCAGUGAGCUAAGAACCCAAUAUGAUGUCUGUGAGGAUGUAGGUUCGAACUCUGGCCUCGCUCAUGGGUUGAGGAUCCAGUGGCAUAGAUCACAGAUGGGGUUCUGAUUGUACCUUAGCAGGAACUUCCAUAUGCUGCAGGUGCGGCCACAAAAAGAAAAACCAAAAAAGAAGCAGAUAAGGGGUCACGCCUGUUCUUAGCCCUGCCCCUCUCGGGGUCUUACUUCCCUCUUGGCAGGGCUGUCCACCCUCCCAGCUUUGGCCUCCCACAGCUGUCACUGUGUGUCCCCCAUAGUUCUGGAUUUAGUAUUUUGAGAGAUCAAGCUCUGAGAAACCCCUUAGUUCUUAGCUAGUCAUCCAUAGGUCACCCUGCCACUCACACGUACCCCGCCCCCACACACACACAUACACGCAUGAAUGUACAGGGAGCACGGAGCACGCUAACACCUCCCCCAACCCACAGACACACAAAUGUCUACAUAUACGGACCCCCCCCCACCCCAACUCCCAGAGGUGCUUCCUUAACAACCAAUACAAACACACACGGACCUGCACGCAAACACACAGGGACAUACAGAGAAACACUCAGACACACCUACAGACAUACACAAGCCCCUUGCAUACAGACGCACCUGCAUGCACACACACAAGCACGUAUAUAGAGAUGAGGCUAUGUGGAGAUGCGGGGUAGGGAUGGCUUUCCAUGCAGAAAUCAGCUCCCCAGCCUCUCUGAGGUUCUGAGGCUCUACCCUGCCCCCAGUUUGCUGGGACCAAGCCCUUUCCCACCCCACCCCUCUGUGUUGGCCCAUUUCCUCUGGGAAGGGAUAUAUUUAUGUAAGGUCUCUGUUCCCUAUGAGGUCAUUGGCGCCCUCCAGGCAGGGUUGGUGUCUGCUUUGCUUAUUUCUGGGUCCCCAGACCUAUAAGCCUUUGCUGAAUGAAUGAAUAUGCAAAUGCAUGAGUGAAAUGCACCCACCCUCCAGGAGGAGGGUUCACACCUGGUCCCUCCAGGAUAUGUUUCCAGUCCUGGACUGGAAGCUCCAAGUUCACCUAGCUUCAGCUGCAGAGAGCCCCUGCGGGCUGCAGGCCUCAUUCCCAUCCCGUGUGGCUUCAUCUUUCUCCUGAGAAACUUGAGGACACCUUGCUGAAGGACUUGCCUCUGCAGGAGAAGGGUCCAGGCUGCUAUGGUCUGAAUAUUUGUGUGCCCCCCAAAUUCAUGUCGAUGGUACUUGGAGGUGAAACAUUUGGGAGGCGCUUAGGGCAUGAGGUUGGAGUCCUCCAGAAUGGGGUUGGUGCUGUUAGGAAAGCGACCCCUUCCCCUUUCCAGCAUGUGAAGAUAAAAUGAGACAUCUGCGACCCAAAGAGCGUCUGCACCAGGCUGUGCUGGCCCCAUGAUGUUGGACUUCCAGCCUCCAGACCUGGGAGAAAUAAAUAUUGUUUAUAAGG